AACCACAAUUACAUUCGGCUAUAGUAGUAGUUCAGUCUGCUCAACUUUAGUGUUCACAACUUCUCCCUCAUUCGCUGCUUCAAAGACCCAUCUCUGGCCAUUGCAAAUGUGUUUCUGCAAUUUCAUCAGCUGAAGUUGCGCAUGCUCUUGAAUACAUACAUAAUAUGGGAAUGAUUCGUUGAGAUAUUAAGGUACUUUUAUUACCUGGACACAUUUGUCAAUGAAAUAUAUUAGGAAAGUUUUGAGUUUAUAUCUAUGGCUGCCAGAAAACUUGCUACGUGCUGCAGAUGGACACAUUAAAAUUGUUAACUUUGGCAGUGUAAAAUCAUGUAGGAUAACAGAAUAGCAGUCCUUUUAUAUGCAACAUCAGGUAUAUCUUUCUUGAUGUUCGGUUGCUUCCGUGGAAAUUAGAAUCGGGUUAAAUUCCAAACAUAUGCUCUUUGUGCAUUUUUAUUAUCAAAUCACUUCUCUAGAUAAUAAAGCAUGCACUUUUGUGGGGACAACUGCAAAGGUCCUCACAUUCAAAUGAAGGUUGGUAUGUAGAUGAUUUUAUCCUAUUUUAGAUCAUUCAAUAAGACAAUAUUUGUUGUAUGAUGCAGGAAUUUGGAGAGAUUUUGGUGAGCCUCCUUUUAGUUUUUGCUAAUCAACUUUCAGAAUAAACCAACUUUAUUUGCCCUUUAAAUAUUAAUAACAUAUUAAUGAACCUUUUAUACCCUUUAAGUUUUUUUUCCCACCAUACUCUAGAAGUAUCAAUGUCAUAUUAAAAAGCAAAAGUAAAUAGCAUAUAGGACAUCCCUUUGCUUUUUUUUCCCCUCCUCUUUGCAUACCCUUAAAUGAUACUUUAGCUUAGAUUUGUUUCAGUAUCUGAUCAAGCACCGGAGAAGGAGAAAAUAGUUCAACGAAGAUUAGGAAUAAACAUUUCCCAACCACUGUGAAGAUUGAAAAAUAAUACAAAAGUUUAUUUCUCAUUAUAUCAGGUUAGUUUCACUUUCAACCUUGAAAGGAACGUUACAGAUGUUUUUGUUGCUGAGAUUAUGGUCUGUUUAGCUGCUUACUACCAUAUCAUUUGGUUGAAUACUACAUUGACUUCUAGAGAUAGAGCUGCCGUUGCCUGCAUUUUGGACGAAAGACAAAAAACUGCUUGCAGUUACACAACUUGAUAUAUUUUCAACAGGUUACUCCAUCACGGGAGGAAAAGGUCAAAUAUUUUCAUCCUCAAAAAUUUCCAUAGCACGACUUGAGAUCUGAAAUGGCUGAUUUUAGAUGGACAAAAAAGGGACUUGCAUCAACUUUAGAAGUUUUAUUAAUUUUCAUUCUCCCAAGACCCAAGUUUGUGUGAUAAUUAUAAUUAAAAUAAUGGUACAUAAAAUACCUUUUGUAUGUGAUUCUAUAAUACCUGUUGUUGUUGUUGGUGU